rnacentral:rRNA from 1 species
UACGUAGGGUGCGAGCGUUAAUCGGAAUUACUGGGCGUAAAGGGUGCGCAGGCGGUUCUGCAAGUCAGGCGUGAAAGCCCCGGGCUUAACCUGGGAAUGGCGCUUGAAACUACAGGACUGGAGUAUGGCAGAGGGAGGUGGAAUUCCACGUGUAGCGGUGAAAUGCGUAGAGAUGUGGAGGAACACCGAUGGCGAAGGCAGCCUCCUGGGCCAAUACUGACUCUCAUGCACGAAAGCGUGGGGAGCAAACAGG